rnacentral:rRNA from 1 species
ACUCCUACGGGAGGCAGCAGUGGGAAUAUUGCACAAUGGGGAAGCCCAUCGAUGCAGCCAUGCCGCGCUGUGUGAAGAAGGCCAAUUCGGGCUUGGUAAAGACACUUUCAGUUGUGAGGAAAGGUUAGUCGCUAAUAUCGGCUAGCUGUGACGUUAGCAACAGAAGAAGCACCGGCUAACUCCGUGCCAGCAGCCGCGGUAAUACGGAGGGUGCGAGCGUUAAUCGGAAUUACUGGGCGUAAAGCGCGUGUAGGUGGCUUGUUAAGCCAGAUGUGAAAGCCCGC